rnacentral:rRNA from 1 species
UACGUAGGUGGCAAGCGUUGUCCGGAAUUAUUGGGCGUAAAGCGCGCGCAGGCGGUCGCGUAAGUCUGCUGUGAAAUCUCCCUGGCUCAACCGGGAGGGGGCGGCGGAGACUGCGGGACUGGAGGGACCUAGAGGCCGGUGGAAUUCCCGGUGUAGUGGUGAAAUGCGUAGAGAUCGGGAGGAACACCUGUGGCGAAGGCGGCCGGCUGGGGGUGCCCUGACGCUGAGGCGCGAAAGCGUGGGGAGCGAACCGG